rnacentral:sRNA from 1 species
GUUCAUUAAGUAGAAAUCGGUCGCCAA